rnacentral:rRNA from 1 species
UACGGGGGGGGUAAGCGUUGUUCGGAAUUACUGGGCGUAAAGGGCUCGUAGGCGGCCAACUAAGUCAGACGUGAAAUCCCCUCAGCUUAACUGGGGAACUGCGUCUGAUACUGGAUGGCUUGGAUCCGGGAGAGGGAUGCGGAAUUCCAGGUGUAGCGGUGAAAUGCGUAGAUAUCUGGAGGAACACCGGUGGCGAAGGCGGCAUCCUGGACCGGUAUUGGACGCUGAGGAG